AUGCAUGGUUCUUUUAAGCAUGCACUACUGCAGAUGCUGCUAACGCGACACUACGAUCAGAGACCCUUCGACGAAACUGUGUGCGAUGCAAUAAUCACGAACGGUGGUGUAAAAGAGCCGUCAAAAAAGGUGCAAAACGUUUGCGAUGGCGGAGCCAUCAAACACGGUUCAGAUUUUAGUUGCGUGUGCGAUCCAGGGCAUAUGGUUCAGUCCAAUGAACUGUUUGCGAUGAGGCGGAACAAAAGAAACGGGCAGCCUGAUGAAGGCGUGUGCGAUAUAGAGCAUACGGUUCACUCGAAUGAACUGUUUGUGAUCAGGCAACACAAAAGAAAUGGUCAGCCAGAUCAAAGUGUGUGUGAUUGA
rnacentral:rRNA from 1 species